rnacentral:rRNA from 1 species
AUUGAACGCUGGCGGCAUGCUUUACACAUGCAAGUCGAACGGCAGCGCGGGCUUCGGCCUGGCGGCGAGUGGCGAACGGGUGAGUAAUGCAUCUGAACGUGCCCAGUAGUGGGGGAUAGCCCGGCGAAAGCCGGGUUAAUACCGCAUACGACCUGAGGGUGAAAGCGGGGGACCGAAAGGCCUCGCGCUAUUGGAGCGGCCGAUGUCGGAUUAGCUAGUUGGUGGGGUAAAGGCUUACCAAGGCGACGAUCCGUAGCUGGUCUGAGAGGACGACCAGCCACACUGGGACUGAGACACGGCCCAGACUCCUACGGGAGGCAGCAGUGGGGAAUUUUGGACAAUGGGGGCAACCCUGAUCCAGCCAUGCCGCGUGCGAGAAGAAGGCCUGCGGGUUGUAAACCGCUUUUAUUCGGGAAGAAAUCCUCUGGGCUAAUACCCCGGGGGGAUGACGGUACCGGAAGAAUAAGCACCGGCUAACUACGUG